GAGCGCGAUUAAAAUAAAUAAUAUAUAUAUAUAUUAUGGUCUAUAAUGUUUUUACAUAAAUUAAGGUUAGGUUGAACUAAUGAAUUGCUUGCUAUAUUUUAUCGUUAUAGUUGUUUAUCGUUUAGUUUUUAACUGUUAUUUUUAUUUAUAAUCGUAUGUACUAUAUAUAAAGUGUAGCUAAAUAUGAAGAACGCCAAGAAUGGUUUGCUUUUUCUCCGUCUAUCCAUACUGAAAAACUCAUCUUACGAUCUACGAAAAAUUACGUCUUUGUAAAAGACGUAACCAACGCGGCUAUUGUAUACAUGUACAACUGCUACCAUACCUAUACUGUGCGCGCAACCGACUGCGUACGCCAAAUAUUCAUUAACGAUUUUUAGAAAAACACUUUGUUAAACGUUUGUCGGUAUUCUUUAUCACUGCCGUCUACUGCCAGUUCUACGUGUAUAUGCACUACACACCGUCACUUCGUGGUGCUAUAUUUAAUAUACAGAUUAAUGCUCUAAAACAGGCACCGGCAACCCGCGGCCCUCGGAACAUUUUUCUGCAGCCCACCAAGUAUAUUAUUUCAUAGUGUUUAAAAUUUCAAUUUUUUAUCUUAAAUUGAUAUAAAUUUAAUUUAAUCAUGACUUUAAUAUAACAAUGUGCACAUGUCAUGACAUAAGCUAUGAACAAGAACGUAAUAUAAUCGUAUAUAAUGUAUAUAUCGUAAUAUACAUAAUAAAUUAUAUUUUUUAAUAUUUUAUUUUUGUAUACGGCCUUUGAUGAAAAACUGAAAAAAAUUAUGGCCCAUGUAGGUAAAAUGGUU